rfam:Oryctolagus cuniculus cont2.61187, whole genome shotgun sequence.
CUCAGCUCCAAACCCAUCAUCUCACAAUCCAACUAACAGUUUGAAAAUGAUCAAUACCAGAAUUAUUUGGGAUUAACUUAAAAGAAAAA